GAUGAACGCUGGCGGCGUGCCUAAUACAUGCAAGUCGAGCGAACAGACGAGGAGCUUACUCCUCUGACGUUAGCGGCGGACGGGUGAGUAACACGUGGAUAACCUACCUAUAAGACUGGGAUAACUUCGGGAAACCGGAGCGAAUACCGGAUAACAUGUUGAACCGCAUGGUUCAACAGUGAAAGACGGUCUUGCUGUCACUUAUAGAUGGAUCCGCGUCGCAUUAGCUAGUUGGUAAGGUAACGGCUUACCAAGGCAACGAUGCGUAGCCGACCUGAGAGGGUGAUCGGCCACACUGGAACUGAGCCACGGUCCAGACUCCUACGGGAGGAAGCAGUAGGGAAUCUUCGGAAAUGGGCGAAAGCCUGCCGGAGAAAGGCCGCGUGAGUGAAGAAGGUCUUCGGAUCGUAAAACUCUGUUAUCAGGGCAGAACAAAUGUGUACGUAAAUAUGCACGUAUUGACGGUACCGAAUCAGAAAGCCACGGCUAACUACGUG
rnacentral:rRNA from 1 species